rnacentral:rRNA from 1 species
AGGACGAACGCUGGCGGCGUGCCUAAUACAUGCAAGUCGAACGAACGGAGGAAGAGCUUGCUCUUCCAAAGUUAGUGGCGGACGGGUGAGUAACACGUGGGCAACCUGCCUGUAAGUUGGGGAUAACUCCGGGAAACCGGGGCUAAUACCGAAUGAUAGAAUGUGGCGCAUGCCACGCUUUUGAAAGAUGGUUUCGGCUAUCGCUUACAGAUGGGCCCGCGGUGCAUUAGCUAGUUGGUAGGGUAAUGGCCUACCAAGGCAACGAUGCAUAGCCGACCUGAGAGGGUGAUCGGCCACACUGGGACUGAGACACGGCCCAGACUCCUACGGGAGGCAGCAGUAGGGAAUCUUCCGCAAUGGACGAAAGUCUGACGGAGCAACGCCGCGUGUAUGAAGAAGGUUUUCGGAUCGUAAAGUACUGUUGUUAGAGAAGAACAAGGAUAAGAGUAACUGCUUGUCCCUUGACGGUAUCUAACCAGAAAGCCACGGCUAACUACGUGCCAGCAGCCGCGGUAAUACGUAGGUGGCAAGCGUUGUCCGGAUUUAUUGGGCGUAAAGCGCGCGCAGGCGGUCUUUUAAGUCUGAUGUGAAAGCCCCCGGCUUAACCGGGGAGGGUCAUUG